GAUGAACGCUGGCGGCGUGCCUAACACAUGCAAGUCGAACGAAUCUCGUCUGGAUUCUUCGGAUGACGGACGAGGUUAGUGGCGAAUGGGUGAGUAACACGUAGGUGACCUGCCCCGAUGUGGGGAAUAUCCACUGGAAACGGUGGUUAAUACUCCAUGUGAUCGGCGAUUCGGUUCGUCGAUUAAAGCCUCGGCGCGUCGGGAGGGGCCUGCGGCCCAUCAGGUAGUUGGUAGGGUAAUGGCCUACCAAGCCGAUGACGGGUAGCUGGUCUGAGAGGAUGGUCAGCCACACUGGAACUGAAACACGGUCCAGACUCCUACGGGAGGCUG
rnacentral:rRNA from 1 species